UUACUGGGGGUGUUAUAAUCACAGGAGGAUUUGUUACUGGAGGGGAUAUUACAGGGGGAGGAUUAACGAUUAUUGGUGGUAGUACUACUGGUGGCAUUGGUGGGUUGUAGCCUCCAUGGUGAGGUGGGUUGCCUCCAUGAUGGGGUGGGUACUUGGUGCUUGGUGGUUUGGGGUGGGGAACUUUUGGGGGAGUUGGGUGGUGUGUCGGCGGUGGAUGUGGCUG
rnacentral:lncRNA from 1 species